rnacentral:rRNA from 1 species
UAAUACGUAGGUGGCAAGCGUUGUCCGGAAUUAUUGGGCGUAAAGAGCAUGUAGGCGGUCCUUUAAGUCUGGAGUGAAAAUGCGGGGCUCAACCCCGUAUGGCUUUGGAUACUGGGGGACUUGAGUGCAGGAGAGGAAAGGGGAAUUCCCAGUGUAGCGGUGAAAUGCGUAGAUAUUGGGAGGAACACCAGUGGCGAAGGCGCCUUUCUGGACUGUGUCUGACGCUGAGAUGCGAAAGCCAGGGUAGCGAACGGGAUUAGAUACCCCGGUAGUCCUGGCCGUAAACGAUGGGUACUAGGUGUAGGAGGUAUCGACCCCUCCUGUGCCGGAGUUAACGCAAUAAGUACCCCGCCUGGGGAGUACGUCGGCAACGAUGAAACUCAAAGGAAUUGACGGGGCCCGCACAAGCGGUGGAGUAUGUGGUUUAAUUCGACGCAACGCGAAGAACCUUACCAAGGCUUGACAUUGAUUGACCGCUCUAGAGAUAGAGCUUUCCCUUCGGGGACAUGAAAACAGGUGGUGCAUGG